AACUCUUAUUCAUUGAGGGAAUAGCCCGUUUCCUGAAAUAUUUCCUUUGAGCAAGUCUCCCUACAUUUUUGUUUAGGUUCUCGAGAUUCUCAAUCGCUUUUAAGUGAUUAACAAACAAUUCAAUACAAAACAUAUUUCCUUGUUUAUUGUGAUAUUAGGAACCUCAAAGUUUUAACCCUGGACAGGGCGGUCAGGGCAGUCGACCGCUGCCGCCCUAUCUAACCCUCGUCGGAAACAACCCCACUUUCAAGUCAUUCACAACUCAAACCUUGUCACUUUUUGCGGGGAGUAGUUUAUUUUGUUUGUAGAAGUCAAAAAAUAGUGCUGGUUCUUUAAAUUUGGGGCUCAAGGUGGUAACCGGGAGCAGUCUUUUAUUUUGGAGAUUGGGUGGCGUAUCAUGAGCCCCAAAGGAAUUCCUUAUUAAGCUAGAUGUUCAAUGUUUAUUGGGCCAAUCGCUUUUGCUCGAAAAAGGCCCACCUAACCACAUUAAAGGCCUGCUCAUGGGGGUUAAUUAGGAGCGGAGGUGCACGAAAAACUGCCCAAGAUUAUUAGAGAAGACCCAAAUUUUGUUAUAAAACGGUUGCUCUUGUGGAUGCGGUUUUGGGCUGCCCAUGUCUUUGUCCUGUUAGCUUGUCACUAUAUUGGAUCAUGAAGAUGGUCUUUGGGAAGCUGAGCAUGGGAUUUUGAAGGCUCGUGGUCAUUGUGUUUGUUCAUUUAGGUACUUAAAAUCAUGUUUAGCGGUUUCCAAAGCAUGUUUUGUGUGUUCCGACUAUAGGUUGCUUCGGGGUAUGCCCCUUUGAUCUUGUAACAAUAUUUUCAUUCAUACUAUUUUCCGGGUAAAAGCUCACUUACAUAAAGAAACAUCUUUCACUAGUUA